GGUAAUUGGCCAGGAUUGUUUAAACGAUGGAUCUUUAAAAAGACAAAAGCAGAGUAGAAGACAAACAGAGAUUUUAAAAAGUUAAGUCUGACCUGAAAUAUAAUCAUAUUACAUAUGUUCACAUCAUCACAGUUUUUAUUUAUUCUCUUGUUGAUCCUUUGCUAUGUUUUCGUUUCUAUUAUUUCCUUGUUCUUAUUUUUUUUUGUCUUUUCAUCUCAUAUAUUGAUAGGUCAUUGAUAAGGGUUGUAUGCCAGAGAAACUGGGAAAUACAGCUUUGGAACAAUUCACAAAAUAAACUACAGAAACAAAGGUUAGUACUAUAUUAAAUUUUUAUUUUAUUCGAGAAAUCGUGAACUGAACUUGUAGAAUCAUCCUAGGAUUAUCGGCUUUAGGAUUGUACAAUUACUUAAAUGAUAAACUAUAUAAACUGACUUGUUUGUAGAUGAACGUACUUGAUCUUGCAUAUCUGUUGUUGGGUUGCUGAUUAACUGUUCUAUGUUUUGUUGAAUUUUAUUAGAUACAUGGCAAGUUUAAUUUUAGAUGGCAAACUGUUAUUUCUUCUUUGUCAAAACAUGAUGAUCAAUACAUGUUUGGUUUGAUUUCAAACCUCUUUAGUAAGAUAGAAUAAAAUAUUUUAGAUUGAGUCUUCCUAACCGAUAGAUUAAAGAAUUUAUUUAGUACAAAAUCGGAAAUGACUUUGAAAACUUUAAAGAAAAUGUAGUACAACAAAAAACACAACCAAAACACCAAUUUCAGUCUGCAAGUACUAAAACACAAAACAAAUUCGCAGCAAGACACAUCAGUCAUCUAUGGUUUCCAGAUUAGUAAAAACCUCUUUGAAAACAACAUUAGUAGUUUUAUUUUGCGGCUUCCCUUCUUUAUCCACAAUCAAGAUUUUCAAACCUUUCUUCGAAGUAACCCUUGAAAUAGCAACAUAUAGCUGGCCAUGAGAAAAAACUGGUCUAGGAAGGAAUAAUCCCACUUCAGACAAUGAUUGUCCUUGACUCUUGUUGAUGGUUAUUGCAAAAGCCACAGUUAAAGGCAAUUGUCUUCUGCGCAUCUUGAAAGGAAGUCUUUUAUCUGUAGGCUCGAUCAACAAUCUAGGAAUAUAAACGUCUUUACCAACCUUGUCACCAGUUAAGAUUCUAGCUUCCACCAUGAAAUCCAUAAGUUGUGUAAUUUCCAAUCUUGUUCCAUUCAUUAAACCUUCAUUAGGAUUAAUGUUCCUAAGCAACAUAACAGGACAACCAACCUUCAAUCUUAGACUAUGAUUUGGUAGCCCAGAAACUUUAAUACUGUUUAGAAAGUCGGAACUGAGGGCUUCAUUACUGACCGAGGCAGUAUCAGAUGGAUCUAUACUGUCAGAUGAGAUAUAAAUCAUUUCUUCACCUGAUGGGAAAUAACCAAAUUUUAUAAAAGAGUCAGUGUCAAUAAAUAUAACGAAAAUAUAUACAGUAAAAAAACACUUAAUUACCUUCGAGUUUAGAUAACAUAUGAUCAUUAAUCAUAUUUACAUCCUCAUUAGUUGGACAUAAGAUUGCUCUCUCUUUAAAAAACUUAGGAUCUUUCAUCCCUUUCAAUGAAUCAGUGUCUCCAUAAAUGGCCAGACUUAUAGUCUCAAUAGGAUCGUUAGGGUCCAUAAUUAGAAACUCUUCUGGAAUUUCAAUUAAUGCCUCCCCAUCAUUAGGCUCUGAUACUUUCCCAUCACCAACAGCCAAAAUCCACUCAGAAAAUUCUUUCAGAUCUUUUGCCUCAUCAUCUGUGAGAUUGUUUGAACACAGUCUCAUGUUCUUAGUAAGCUUCAGAACCUUGCAAUGUUCCCAGAGAUAUGAUGAGUUCAUGGAAGCCAGAACAAUCUCAGCCCUACAACCUCCUGUAAUAACAGGAAGUACUUGUCGAAAAUCACCUCCAAACACAAUUACUUUUCCACCAAAAGGCUUUUUAUCUGGAUUGUCCAUUAGAUCAUUUAAACUUCUGUCUAAGGAUUCAAAGCAAUGCCGGCUCAUCAUUGGUGCUUCAUCCCAGAUAAUUAGAGACGCUUCCUUUAUCAAAUUAGCUUUAUCUGAUCCGGGAGUCAGUGAACAUGUAGUGAAUUCAUCUGGAUUGAUGGGUAUGCUAAAACGGGAAUGAGCAGUUCUGCCACCUGGUAACAACAGGGAAGCAAUUCCGGAUGAUGCAGUAUUAAGAACUAUAUCUCCCUUGCACCUCAAAGCAGCUGAUAGAAGUUUCCAAAGAAAGGUUUUUCCUGUGCCACCAAACCCGUAAACAAAGAACAUUCCACCUCUAUCUUCAACAACAGCACUAAUGAUCUCAUCAUAGAUUUUUCUUUGCUCAUCAGUCAUCUUUGAAAAAUCUAUAUCAUGAGUGGCUUGCAAGUCUUCCAUAUCAUAACUUAGCUCAUCCAAUAUCAAGACAUUUUCAAUCGAUUUGGCAUUGGCAGGAAGCUUUGGCAUAGACUCAUAUAGUGAAAGUGAACUCCCAUUUCUUUUCAUAAGCUUCUCAAUCUCUAUUAGAGCAUACAACUUCUUGUCAUUGUCAGUCAAUUUAAGUCCUGCCAAUUCACGAAAAGAACUCUCAUGUGAAGCUGUAAAUUCUAAUAAAACAACAGUCUCACAUAAUAAAUAGCUGAUUAUUAGAACAAUCAACAAACAACAAUUUGACAAAAACGUAGAUACAAUAGGGGAAUUUGAUAGAAUAAGUUAGUAGUGUACCAGGCCUAUUGAAAUGAUGUCUGCGAUUAUACUCGAUAUCUUCAGAUAAGAGUUCCCAAGUUUUUUCCCAAACCACCUCUGGUUGAGAAAGACUGUUCGAGAGAAGCAUUAGAACAAAUAGAUCACGAACAACUGCUGCAGAACUAUCAUAGCUACGCCUUAUCAAAUCAUCUAUGUACUCCUGGUCAUCAUCCAAUAUUCCCCGAGCAUAACAUGUUUCUUUAUACCCCUCAUAAACCACAUCAUUAUAUGUUUUAAUAUCCUGAUAGCUAGUAGGACCUUUGACAUAGUUCAACAAAACUCUCAAAUAAUAAGAGCUUUCUUGCUUUCUUGGGGCAUAAUUAAUUCUUCCAACACUGAAACCUUGUUUCCUUCUAUUGAACUUCUUCUGACUCUUCGAAUAUGUAUAAUAGUUGGGAAUCUGAAUAUAUGUAAGAGUCCGAGCAAACGCAUCAACCUUACACAGCUCAAACCAUGCCAAGAACAUUGUGUUUUCGAUGAGCUUACGACUGACAACAUCCUUAACUUUAUCCUUCCCUUUGAAGAUAAUGGUCUGUUUCCCUGGAAGAUGAAAUGACAACUUCUCAACCGCAGUAGAUCUGUAAUGUAUUGGAAACUUAAAAAUUCUCCAUGAUCCUUCACAAGUUGAAACAUAUCUACAUUGGUCAGAACAAUAUAAGUUAGAAUCUAAGAUUGAAAUAAAUACUACCUCCUGAAAAUAAAAUAUUUAUGGAUCAGUUAAUAAACUACCUGCAAUCAAAGAAAUCCUUUAUUUCAUUUUUUUUAAUCUCCACAGUUUCUUUCAAUAUGUUACCACCAGUCUCCAUGGCAGAGUUUCCUAACGCCGAGUUAGCUGCUACUGAUUUCGCUGCAACUGAGCUCGCUGCGGCCGAGGUCGCUGUAGCUGAGUUCCCUGCAGACGAACUUGGUGCUGUUUGAUUCGCAACAUCUGGCCCUGUUGGUUCAACUACCACAGUUACACGGUCAGCUCCUUUAUUAAUGUAUUUAAAUAAAUACUUAAUGGAACCAACUUGGUUGCACCACUCUACAUUAAUGUGUGCUCGGUACCGAAGAGAGAGUUUCUUGUUAUAAGGGAUGACCCAUCUGUUGUCACAUUUCAAACCAUUCUUCUCAACAUAACUGUUAGAUUGCUCACGUCUUCUGUAAACAGGAAAUCCAUCUUUUUUCACUCUAGUAUCAUCAGCAAAGGGUUUAGGAAAACUUUUCGAGCACUGUCCAUUUUCCAUGCACGGUGAAUUCCUAUUAGCUGCUCCGCACGGACCAUGAAUCAUCAUAUCCUUAACAACAUCGUAGAGAUCUGGAUCAAGCGACUUAUCAGGAAUCUCAGCCGAUAUGAUUUUAUCGAUGUCUUCUGUUUUUGGAAAUUUGGAUGAAGGAUGCAUAAAAAGCAGUAUGUGAGCAUGUGGCAAACCUCUCUUCUGAAACUCAACAGUAUACAUAGCUGAAAUAUAUUAAAAAAAACAGUUGCCAUUAUUGUAAGAAAACGACCAAGUCAGUAUAGAAAUAAUAAGAAAUAUUUUAAGCUAAGAUUGAGUCAAAAACGAACUUACAUGAAGCUGUUUUCCCCAAUAUAUUCUUCUUUGUCAAAUCAUGCAUCAAAGAAUCGAGUUUCAUCUUAAACAUCCGACAUAUAACAUCUAGUCUGUCAUCUGAAUUCAGGCCUCUCUUUUUCAGAAAUCUCGUAAGUUCUGGCCAUUUUGGAUUGCAUGUAAAGGUGAUGACAAGGUCUGGAAAACCAAAAUGUCUACAAAUGGCCAUAGCGUCUAAGUACAUAUUCUUCAUGUAUCUAGGACCCCCUGUGAAAGUAGCUGGUAGCACAAAUUGCUGACCUUGUUCAUUCAUGUCCGACUGUCCAGCAUUUUCAGACUCCUUGAUAGAGUCGUAAAUAUCCGAACGCAAGCAUGUCUGGUUGAGCUGCAGAUACCUAAGUCUGUUGGCUUCUAUAGUCGUAUAUGCAUCAACUAUGAAUUGUUGAAAUAACCUUCUGGAGUAUAGAAGAACAUGUGAUUCAUUUUCUCGCUCUUGCAUCCGGAAAGCAAAAAACUGUCUCAUACUGAUAGUAUCUUUCUUGAGUUUCUUCGACGCUUCUGUGACACCCUUCUUAAUGCCAAUCCUGAAUCCAUCCUCACCAUACACAAAUAGCAGAGGAUACUGGAGUGCUAAAUAGGAAAUAUGAAUCUCAUCGAUCCUUGUAAGUCUACCAGACUUAUGCUGUAGAACAAUAUCCCGCUUAUCCAUUCCUAAAUUAAAAUCUCCAGGAAUCAAUGCAGCAACCUCAGAUGCAGUUGGCAUAUUAUAUGUCCGACCAUCUCUGUCACUUCUACUUACGAUUCGCAUAUGGAAAGUCUCUUCCGGAUUCAUUCGAAAUCUAUCUCUAGCUGAUCGAAACUGCUUAACAUAUGGAUUAACAUCAUUCAACAUCAUCAUUAUAGGCUGAAUAAUUUCUUUCCUCAACCCAUCAAUUGUACUCUCUGUCUGAGUAUUUUUCCCAUUUCUGAAAAACAGUAAAGUAGAUAUAAUAAGUUUAUAUAACACGCAUAUAGUAAUGUUUAAGCACUUAUAUGCAAAAUUAAAUUACUUACCUCAAAGCUUUAGAUCUGUUUUGAAGUUCAUUCUCUGUGUCAACAAUGUAAAGCUGUCCAAACUUGGCAUAAUUUCCUUCAGGUGGGGUUAAACUUCCCAUCAGAUGAUAAUUCUCACCAUGAAGCACCAACAUUUGUGGUCCUCGUCCCUUUCUAACAGACUUAUCUACUUUACCACCAAGUGAAGUGAAUGAAAAAACCAUAUUAUAUGAUCUGGUAUUCUUUUGGAAAUGUUUACUCAGCUUAUCAUUUCCUGUAAGAAGCUUCAUUAGAACAUCCGGGGAUUUCUUUAAUAAGGGCAACUGGACCUGACCUUGCAUGCAACACAAUGUAAAUAUAGGUUUUUUUCUAGAUUUGGUCUUAUUUAUGCGCUCUCCAAACCACAUGAUAGCUCCACAAUGAACACAGGUGUAAGUUGGGUCACCUUCAUCAACAUAAUCUGCUUUAUAAUAAUGUUUAUAGGUUAGAAAAAAUAGUCUACACAGAAACCAUCUAUUGACAAAUUUUAGCUUACCAUAUUCAGAUGAUGACACUGCUUUCACUUUUGGCUUCGGUGGUUUUUUCACCUCAGAGAAGUUUUUUUUAAAUAAAGCUGCUAGAAAGCUAACUCUCUCUGUUUGAUCUUCUUUAUGUGGUUCUUGUACAAUAGACUGUUCGUCAUCUGAAAUUUCAGUAUCCGAACUUUCCUGACUACUACAUUCGACUUCUAGAUCAUCACACUCAUCUAUGGAUCGCAGUAAAUCUGCAAAACAUACACAUGAUAAAAGUAUCUAACGUAUGAAUUUAGUCAGGGACGAAACCACAUAAAGUUCAAAUCAUCCUCUGGAUGGAAAACGGUUUACCUUCAUUCUCUGGAUCAUCUAUAGGAAAAUCAUGUUCUACAUAAGAUGUGUUUGAAAUUCCUAAAUCAAAUGUAGUAUGACUGGUGGAUGUUAUAGGUAUUUUUGUAUUUGGUGUGUUUUCUCUUUGAAAUGUUCCCAAUCUUGAACAUGAUCCUCUUACUAUACCUGAAAUGGGAGUAUUAUAUUAAUAUAUUACAUAAUGAACAAAAAAUUAAUCAUCUAUCAUUGCAGUCUCUGCUAUUAUCAGUAAAUUAGGAUAUAUAAACAGACCUUGAUCUCUUCGACUCUUUUUCUUGUCAUUAGGGUUCUCAUCAGUUUUUUUGUCAAAACAAACUACACCAAAUAAAAUUAGAGAUAUUAGCUGAACGUGAGGAAACCUGGUAUAUAAACAAUGGUCAAUAUAGAAUAUAAAACACCUCGUUUGUUUGUAGGAUUUGACACUGAAACUUGUGUUUUAAACCUUGAUGAAACGCUAUUAUUGGUAAUAUCACUCUUUAAUCUUCCAAAAACUGUACUCAAAGGGACAUCUUUUCUUUGAGAAUGAUCUAUUCUCUGUUUUGAAACAGAUUGGGAACGCAGCCGAUGACCAUCAUCCUCAAACCGAGGUUGAUGCUUUCUUUUCAUCCUCUUCAUUGAAGGGCUAUGUUAGCAGAAACUACACGGUAAGUUCUCAGUUACAUGCACUGGAACUGAGGAAUAGUAUAAUCACCUUUAAAACAAAGUUGCUAGGUAUAAAAUUGUUCAAUGAAUUCUCACAGUCAUUCUGUUGCUAAUAAGAAAAUAAUGGCGUCAAUGUUAAUACAUUGAAACUUUCUAAUUUGUAGUUAGGCGGGAUUUUGAAAAUAAUUGAAAAGAGAAUUAAUUAAGUUAAGAUUCUUUACAUAUGAAAUAUUGUAUAAAAUCUCUUUAGAUCACAUGAAUAUCUAAAUGUAGAUUAGUUGUCGGUUAUAUCUUCACGGAUACGUUUAAUAUCUUUACUUGUUGCAAGUAAUAAUUAUAAUUGAUUAUAACAUAUAUUCGUUUGAGUUACUUUUUUGAGUACUACAAAUUAUUUCUUUAGAUAACUAUAUUAAGUAUUCUAACAACUUCAUUUUUGUUUAGGAUGCAAAUAUAGAUUUAUCAAACAAUCUACUUUGGCUGAUUUACUAAAGGGAGUUCAACAACAGCUUAUUAAAGUAAGUAUAUUUGUUGUUAAAUUUCCGUAUGCUCAUAUAUUUAGUUAAGUGCGUUUUGUGAAAACUUUUAUAAAGAUUACUAAGUUUAAUGCCUUAUUCAUUUUCCCGAUAGUCAGUCAUGUAGAUUAGAUUCACAAAACACAUAUUGUUAUUAUUAAAAAAUCCUCUUUAUUGAUAAAAACCAAACAAUACAGCAUAUGGAAAUAAACCAGAUAAUAGAAAAUUCAAAAAAACAUAGUUUCUGAAAAUAAAACGAUUAUUAAAAGCAAAAACAAAACACGUAGCAUCUCAGUUUUCUCUACCUCUACUUCUUUUCCUGCUUCAUUAUCUUUGAGCAUUGUUUUUUAGAGGUAGAAGAAAGAUCAUCAAUCUCACAUUCUCCCUUUCGUUUUGAUAGUGGAGUUGACGACAAACAUAUGUUCUCUUCACUUUCCAUGCUGAUCAAAGAGACCUUGAAAAUAAUAGAAUAAACUUUUAAUGAAUACGCAUAUAGGUUGUGAAUAAUAAAAUAUCUAAUUAGGAAGAAUAAUGAUAUUUUUAGUAGACCUGUCCUGAGGAACGGUCAGAUAAAGCUCUGUUAGUCAACGUAUCAUCAGUAUUCUCAUCAUCCGAGUGAGUUAUGAUCUCAUCAGCAGACCAUGUUUUCCCAAUGUUAAAUAUAUCAGCUCCAUAGUCAACAUUGUCUUUGCUCACAUAGACACCAAAUUUGAAAGUUUUUCCAAUAAGCUCAUUAAUAGCAGCAGGCAAGUCUUCAGGAUCUUCAACCUAAAUAAAAACAAACACCUACUAUAUUAAAAACGACUAUAUGUAUGCAAUAUACAACAAUUAAAUGGAAAUUUUUACAUACCUCUUCUAGAGAACCAUCUAAGAGCACUUCAGCACUCACUCCCAAAAUUGGUUCAGCAAUAGUAUCAAGCAGCAUCACCUUAGUUUCACCAGUGUCAUCCUUUAUAAGUAGAUGGAGUUUAAACCUGUAAAAAUGUAAAAUUGGUAAGUUAUAUGACUCAGAUACAUAUAUCUAAUACUAUUAAGAUUAAAAAACAUACUGAGGUGCAACAUUGGUUACAGACUGAUGGCAUGAAUCACAAUACCACAGAUGUUUAACAGGAACCACAUCCCUUUUGGUAAUGUCGGUAACCUUUUUGAAGUGGCACUUAACACAACCAAAAUAAAACCAAGCCCAGUCUGUGUCUAUUUCAUAAAUUGUGCCCUUAACAAUGCAGGUUUCAGUCUACAAAAAUAACAUUAGUUUUAGAAUAUAGGUAGAUUAUAACAGUAUAUACCUUAGAUAUACUAAAAACUUACCUCAGUCGCCAUAAUGAUAUCCAGAAUUGAUCUCUCAGGAUAAAUAGACCAUUUAUCAGGUUGGCGUUUGCUUCCUUUAUGUUUUGCAAGCUCAUGACUACCAGUUGUGAGAGCAAGCUCGUUCUUAGGCAACCUGAAUAAGUAAAAAACGGUUUGAGAGAUCAUGUAUAUUUAAUUAGCAAACAUCAAAUAGUUGGUAUGUGAUUAGAAUUAAACAUACACUUGAAGAUAGUCUUGGACAUCAAAUCCGGGUGGAUUUAUUUCGACAGUGGAAGAAUCAAAAGCAUUUGUAACCUGAACUUGUCCUGCAACAAAGAAUAAAAAUUUAUUAAGUAAAUCAAAAGCAUAAUAAAGUAUAUUUUUUUCUCAAUCGAUUAGUCAAAUUCUUACCCUUGUAAACAUUGAUUUUAGCAAAUCUCAGUAAACAGAGAAAAUUCUUAUUGACUUGAGCAACUUUGUAUGCAUAUAGCAUAUGUUCAGCAAACCGGCCCCAAAGACAACAUGCUAUUUGGUGAUCCCUGAAAUAUACAUUAGUAGAUUAACACAUUAAAAACACGAUUUGUUUACAUAUGAAAAGUAUAUUUGCAAAAGGUAAUCUAUAACUUACUCUGUGUCUAUCAAAGUAAACUCUAGCUUCUUUGUUUCUUUACCUUGCACAGGCACAACCUGAAUAUCUCCGAUAUCAAUUGGCUGACCAAUAACGUCUGCAAACAUAUUAUUAAAAAAUAAGAAGAUUAUUAAUCAGAAACCGUAGCAUAUUUGUGAAUAAGAAAACUCUAAAAAUUUACCAAUCAAAAAAUUAGAAUCAAGACUUCCGUUCAUGAUUUCUGUGAAAGAUGUUAAUGACAGAAAAUUAUCCUCAUCUUUGAGGGUGGAAUUGGUGACGUUGGAGUUGCUGAUGAUCGACAUUUUGUACUUAUG
rnacentral:lncRNA from 1 species